UUAUAUACUAUUCCCAGUUGAAAAAUCUUGUACAAGAUCAUGUACAUUUUCUUGUUCAAGUUCAAGUACUUGCACAUUCGCGUGAUCUCGUACAAGAGCAGAAAACGAACCUGUAAAAAGAAUUGGUACGAAGUACAUGAACAUGUACAGGUACAUGCAAGUGUAUUUGUUUGUGACUUUGUGUGUGCAAAAUUACAAAUCGAUUCGUUUCGAUUUACAAAAGUUAUUGUGUCAACAACAUGUUAUAUCUAUAUCUACUCAGGGCACCUCAAAACGUAAAGAUUUCAUGGAAAUAGAAAAAGUCAAUUUUCAUUCUCAUGAGAAUGUAAAAAUUGUACUGUGCUAUACGUAUAAUGGAAAUCAUUCGAGAUUAUUUUUGCAAUGAAAAGUAACAUUUUUAAUGCCGUUCUUUUUGUCGAUAAAAAAAUACAUAUAAAUUAUCACAAAAAACUAUAAAAAUGUGUCUAGUAUAAAUGAGACAUUUCAUAUGAGAAGACGGGGUCAUGUCUCGGAUUUUUCUCAAAAUUCGUGCAAUUCAACUAUAGAUUUACUCGACAAAAUUCGUCGCAACUGUGAAAAUAAAUUUCUCAAACGACUCGUUUCUAGUUUUGUUUUAUACUUUGUAAAAUUAUAAAUACAAAAGUAGAUUUGAAUAUUCAACAUGAAACUAACAAUUUUUGCAAUUUGUUUCAUUUUGUGUGUUAUUAUUAAUAAUUAUGAAUUGGUUUCUGCUGGUAGAGAUACUGAUACUAUUUUGGGUUCAAUAGAUAAAUGCAUAACUAGUAAAAAAAUCAUUGUUUUCAAAGGAAAUUAAAUAUUAUAAAUGUAAAGGUGGAUUUAGAAGAUUUUACAAUUUAGAAGAAGCACAAGAGAUAUGUAUUAAAAAGGGGGGAUGAUGGUCGGUCCCACUGUUAUAAAUAUGAUUUUGCUGUUGGUUCAAAAAAAAGGGAAGAUAUUGAAGAGAAAUGCAUAGUGGAAAAAAUCCAUCGUUUUUUGUAUGUGCUUUAAUAGACCAAAUGCAUUAUAAAACCUAUGAGGAUGCACAAGAGAAAUGUAUUGAAAAGCGUGAUGAUGGUCUUUACUACUGCCAUCGUUAUCAAAAAAAAUAUAAAGACUUAAAUGAUGCAUUAAUAGUUCAUAAUAUUGAUUAAAAUGUUUAAUUUAAAAAAUGUACAAGUGAAUUUGUUUUAAAGAAAUUACUAUUCACAUUAUUCCAGUUCCCAUGUAAGUCAUAAACAAUUCGACAGAAUGGCAAAAUAUCUUAACAGUUUUUGACAAAAAUAUACAGCUUCUAUCACAAAUAAGAUACAAUAACUUUUUUCAUACCUCGAUAAUCUUCCUGAAAGAAAAAUUAUUCAAUUU